rnacentral:rRNA from 1 species
UUAUGGUCAGAACUGUGGGGACACGGGGUGUUAACGGAAGCCGGGAAAGGAAAGACCGGUCCAAGCACAGGAGGCGUUGCGCAGGCAAAUCCGCGCAAUAAGCCAAAGGUGUGACGGGGAGCGAAAUUAUAGUAGCGAAGUCCGGAUACAUGCUGUCAAGAAAAGCCGCUAUUGCGCCAUAUGUACCCGUACCGUAAACCGACACAGGUGGAUGAGGAGAGAAUCCUAAGGCCGGCGGGAGAAGUGUUGUUAAGGAACUCGGCAAAAUGGCCCCGUAACUUCGGGAGAAGGGGCGCCCAGAAAUGGGCCGCAGAGAAAAGGCUCAAGCAACUGUUUAGCAAAAACACAGGUCUAUGCGAAACCGAAAGGUGAGGUAUAUGGGCUGACGCCUGCCCGGUGCUGGAAGGUUAAGGGGAGAGGUUAGCCGCAAGGCGAAGCUUUGAACUUAAGCCCCAGUAAACGGCGGCCGUAACUAUAACGGUCCUAAGGUAGCGAAAUUCCUUGUCGGGUAAGUUCCGACCCGCACGAAAGGCGUAAUGAUUUGAGCACUGUCUCGACAACACACCCGGUGAAAUUGAAAUACCAGUGAAGAUGCUGGUUACCUGCGCCAGGACGGAAAGACCCCAUGGAGCUUUACUCUAGUUUGAUACUGGGACCCGGUAUGACAUGUACAGGAUAGGUGGGAGGCAGAGAAUUAAUGACGCCAGUCAUUAAGGAGCCGCUGUUGGGAUACCACCCUUGUGAUGCCAGGUUUCUAACGAGCUGCCGUGAACCGGCAGGCGGACAAUGUCAGGCGGGGAGUUUGACUGGGGCGGUCGCCUCCGAAAGGGUAUCGGAGGCGCUCAAAGGUUCCCUCAGAAUGGUUGGAAACCAUUCGGAGAGUGCAAAGGCAGAAGGGAGCCUGACUGCGACACCGACGGGUGGAGCAGGUACGAAAGUAGGACUUAGUGAUCCGGUGGUAUAAAGUGGGAUUGCCAUCGCUCAACGGAUAAAAGCUACCCUGGGAUAACAGGCUUAUCACUCCCAAGAGUUCACAUCGACGGAGUGGUUUGGCACCUCGAUGUCGGCUCAUCGCAUCCUGGGGCUGGAGUAGGUCCCAAGGGUUGGGCUGUUCGCCCAUUAAAGCGGUACGCGAGCUGGGUUCAGAACGUCGUGAGACAGUUCGGUCCCUAUCCGGCGCGGGCGUAAGAGAUUUGAGAGGAGCUGUCCUUAGUACGAGAGGACCGGGAUGGACGGACCACUGGUGUAUCUGUUGCACCACCAGGUGCUCGGCAGAGUAGCCAAGUCCGGACGGGAUAAACGCUGAAGGCAUCUAAGCGUGAAGCCCCCCUCAAGAUGAGAUCUCUCAUUCGAAAGAAGUAAGACCCCUUGAAGACGACGAGGUAGAUAGGGCAGGGGUGGAAGGGCAGUAAUGUCCGGAGCUGACUGUUACUAAUCGGUCGAGGGCUUGACC